rnacentral:rRNA from 1 species
CNCCUUUGACGUUAGCGGCGGACGGGUGAGUAACACGUGGGUAACCUACCUAUAAGACUGGGAUAACUUCGGGAAACCGGAGCUAAUACCGGAUAAUAUUUCGAACCGCAUGGUUCGAUAGUGAAAGGUGGUUUUGCUAUCACUUAUAGAUGGACCCGCGCCGUAUUAGCUAGUUGGUAAGGUAACGGCUUACCAAGGCGACGAUACGUAGCCGACCUGAGAGGGUGAUCGGCCACACUGGAACUGAGACACGGUCCAGACUCCUACGGGAGGCAGCAGGU